rnacentral:rRNA from 1 species
GAUUAACGCUAGCGGCAGGCAUAAUACAUGCAAGUUGAACGGCAGCACAGGUAGCAAUACUGGGUGGCGAGUGGCGCACGGGUGCGUAACACGUAUGCAACCUACCCUAUACAGGCGAAUAACCUUUAGAAAUGAGGGCUAAUACGCCGUAGUAUUACAGAUGGGCAUCUAUUUGUAAUUAAAGAUUUAUCGGUAUAGGAUGGGCAUGCGUCCCAUUAGUUAGUUGGUAAGGUAACGGCUUACCAAGACGAUGAUGGGUAGGGGAUCUGAGAGGACUUACCCCCACACUGGUACUGAGACACGGACCAGACUCCUACGGGAGGCAGCAGUAAGGAAGAUUGGGCAAUGGCCGCGAGGCUGACCCAGCCAUGCCGCGUGCAGGAAGACGGCCUUAGGGGUUGUAAACUGCUUUUAUACGGGAAUAAUAGAGUGUACGCGUACAUUUAUGCAAGUAUCGUAUGAAUAAGCAUCGGCUAACUCCGUG